CAAUGGCGCAUACAAAGAGAAGCGACCUCGCGAGAGCAAGCGGACCUCAUAAAGUGCGUCGUAGUCCGGAUUGGAGUCUGCAACUCGACUCCAUGAAGUCGGAAUCGCUAGUAAUCGUGGAUCAGAAUGCCACGGUGAAUACGUUCCCGGGCCUUGUACACACCGCCCGUCACACCAUGGGAGUGGGUUGCAAAAGAAGUAGGUAGCUUAACCUUCGGGAGGGCGCUUACCACUUUGUGAUUCAUGACUGGGGUGAAGUCGUAACAAGGUAACCGUAGGGGAACCUGCGGUUGGA
rnacentral:rRNA from 1 species